rnacentral:misc_RNA from 1 species
GGAAGUAAAAGUCGUAACAAAGUUUCCGUAGGUGAACCUGCGGAAGGAUCAUUAAAGAAUUUGCCCCGUCCUCUCGAGGAUGGGUCCUCUUCUAAACCGUGUAUACAUACCUUUGUUGCUUUGGCGGGCCGCCGUCUCGGCGUUGGCUUCGGCUGACUGUGCCCGCCAGAGAACCCCAACUCUUCUGUUUAGUAUUGUCUGAGUACUAUGUAAUAGUUAAAACUUUCAACAACGGAUCUCUUGGUUCUG